GACGAACGCUGGCGGCGUGCUUAACACAUGCAAGUCGAACGGAAAGGCCCUGCUUUUGUGGGGUGCUCGAGUGGCGAACGGGUGAGUAACACGUGAGUAACCUGCCCUUGACUUUGGGAUAACUUCAGGAAACUGGGGCUAAUACCGGAUAGGAGCUCCUGCGGCAUGGUGGGGGUUGGAAAGUUUCGGCGGUUGGGGAUGGACUCGCGGCUUAUCAGCUUGUUGGUGGGGUAGUGGCUUACCAAGGCUUUGACGGGUAGCCGGCCUGAGAGGGUGACCGGCAACAUUGGGACUGGGAUACGGCCCAGACUCCUACGGGAGGCAGCAGUGGGGAAUAUUGCACAAUGGGCGGAAGCCUGAUGCAGCAACGCCGCGUGCGGGAUGACGGCCUUCGGGUUGUAAACCGCUUUCGCCUGUGACGAAGCGUGAGUGACGGUAAUGGGUAAAGAAGCACCGGCUAACUACGUG
rnacentral:rRNA from 1 species